GAUGAAUGCUGGCGGCGUGCCUAACACAUGCAAGUCGAGCGGCAGCGCAGGUAGUUUACUACCUGGCGGCGGGCGGCGGACGGCUGAGUAACGCGUGGGAACAUGCCCCAAAGUGAGGAAUAACUGCCCGAAAGGGUAGCUAAUGCCGCAUAUGAUCUUCGGAUUAAAGCCUUCGGGCGCUUUGGGAGUGGCCUGCGUACGAUUAGAUAGUUGGUAGGGUAAUGGCCUACCAAGUCGACGAUCGUUAACUGGUCUGAGAGGAUGAUCAGUCAGACUGGAACUGAGACACGGUCCAGACUCCUACGGGAGGCAGCAGUGAGGAAUCUUCCACAAUGGGCGAAAGCCUGAUGGAGCAACGCCGCGUGAAGGAUGAAGGCCCUCGGGUCGUAAGGCACUUUAAGUUGGGAGGAAGGGUUGUAAGCUAAUAUCUUGCAGCUUUGACGUUACCAACAGAAUAAGCACCGGCUAA
rnacentral:rRNA from 1 species